AACGAACGCUGGCGGCAGGCCUAACACAUGCAAGUCGAGCGCCCCGCAAGGGGAGCGGCGCACGGGUGAGUAACGCGUGGGAACGUGCCCAGAGGUCGGGGAUAACGGCGGGAAACUGCCGCUAAUACCCGGUAAGCCUUGAGAGGGAAAGGAGCAAUCCGCCUUUGGAGCGGCCCGCGUUGGAUUAGCUAGUUGGUGGGGUAAAAGCCUACCAAGGCGACGAUCCAUAGCUGGUCUGAGAGGAUGAUCAGCCACACUGGGACUGAGACACGGCCCAGACUCCUACGGGAGGCAGCAGUGGGGAAUAUUGGACAAUGGGGGAAACCCUGAUCCAGCCAUGCCGCGUGAGUGAAGAAGGCCCUAGGGUUGUAAAGCUCUUUCGACGGGGACGAUGAUGACGGUACCCGUAGAAGAAGCCCCGGCUAACUUCGUG
rnacentral:rRNA from 1 species